AACGCACAUUGCGCCUCUCUUUACCGGGAGGCAUGCCUGUCUGAGCGUCAUUUAAACCAAUGAACAUAUUUCGUGUUCGUAUUGGGUUUCGUCCGUCUUCGCACGUUACCUUAAAGCAAUUGUCUAGAUUAGCGGACGAGAUCCUUUAGGACUAACCGCAAAUCAACGCAAAAAUUUCUGAUUGUGACCUCAGAUCAGGUAGGGAUACCGCCUGAACUUAA
rnacentral:misc_RNA from 1 species